rnacentral:rRNA from 1 species
UACGUAGGGCGCAAGCGUUGUCCGGAAUUAUUGGGCGUAAAGAGCUCGUAGGCGGCCUGUUGCGUCCGCUGUGAAAUCCCGGGGCUUAACCCCGGGCGUGCAGUGGAUACGGGCAGGCUGGAGGCAGGCAGGGGAGAACGGAAUUCCUGGUGUAGCGGUGAAAUGCGCAGAUAUCGGGAGGAACACCGGUGGCGAAGGCGGUUCUCUGGGCCUGUACUGACGCUGAGGAGCGAAAGCGUGGGGAGCGAACAGG